GAAACAGCAGCAGCAGCUAGUGGUGGAGAGCACGUGAGCAGUCGUAGGUCCGGUAGCAGCGGCAGGAGCAGCAGAACCUAGCUUCGGUCCUCGAGAGCGGCGAGCCGCUGAGACUCGUACGGGUAGAGGAGGUAGAGGGGCUGGUGAGAAAGUCGCAGGAGGGAGAAGGGCCGGGAGGGGUCGAGGAGGUGGUGGCGGGAGGAGCACUAUACUAGGUGGUGGCGGGGGCGGGACCGGUAUAGGGUGUAGUGGGCGAGGCGGAGGCGCCGGAGGGGCCGGUGGCGCUCGCGCGACUGCUUGCGCAACGUCCUGCCGAGGCAGCCGUAGUAGGGAAACGGGGCGUAAAGGAGCUUGUCGAGGGCCCGCAACAACCACGCCGGGACGCGCGAGUCGGGCGCGUCGUCCAUCGACAUGCACUCCGGCAGGCCGAGCGUCGGCAUCUGCCCGCGGUAGACCACCUUGUGCGCGUCGCGCAGCAACUCCACGUCGCUGACGCGCAUCGGGGACUGCUCGUGCAACUCGCGGGCCCACAGGCCGCCCUACGGGAGGAGGUCGUAGACGGCCUUGUCGCGCCUCUGCCACAGGUACAUGUACAUCACGUGGUACCUCAGCAACGGGGGCGCGCUGUCGUCGCGCCACUUCUCGCGCACCAUCCACAGCCGCCGCCCCGCGCGCCGGCCCAGCCGCCUCCGCGCGUACUCCCACAUCUGCACCUUGCGGAACGGCUCGAACGCCUUGAGCGUCAUCUUCAUCUCCCGCCGGGACUCCUCCCCGGGGCCCCUGCCCUCGCUCCCCUCCUCCCUCUUCUUCUCCCGCGUCCACGCCAGCUUGAGCAGCAUCUCGACCCGCCGCGGGUCCGCGAACUGCCGCUGCUCCUUCCCGGGGCCCAGCCCGGCCUUCCACCCGGCCGGCUCCCUCACCCACUCGUCGCCCUUCUCCUCCGCCUCCAGCCUCCACCUCCGCUCCCUCCUACGCUCCUGCCGGCCACACUCCGCCCUCCCCUCCCUCCGCUACCGUCGCCUCUGCCGCAGCCCUCUGCCGCUGACCGACCCGCGCGCCACCGACGCCGCCUUCGCCACGCCCCACGCCGCCCUCCUCCACCGCUUCCCCUCCGCCACCCUCUCCCUCCGCGGCCGCCCGCACGACGUCUCCUACGCCGCCUCCUCGCACGAGUAGCGCCGCCGCCGCCGCCCCUAUGACGCUGUGCUCAUGUCAGGUGUUUUACGGUGUCUGCCGUAUGUGUUAGGGGGUGGGCCAAUCCGUUGGCGGUGGUUCGUGCUGUGCGAGUGUAGUGUAGUGUCUCGCGAGUUUCGUGUCCGCCGGUUCAGCCGAACGUCUUUCCUACCGGCGGCGCCAGCGGAACCGUUCGGGAGAGGCCGCCGAGGAGGUGAAGGGAACGGGCGCGGCGCGAUAGGGGCGUGGUGAGGCGAAGAAGCGCGCUCCCGCCACACUGCACCGGGAGCGGCAGAGCCGCCGGCGUCAGCCUCUAAGCAGACGAUUCCCCCCGCACGUGUCCGUACAUUAGCUCCUUCAGUACCUGUAAGACCUAUACCGUGUUUCCCGAAGGGUUGCUUCUCUACAGAAGGUGUGGUCAAAAGAAUGCGGUGGAUAGUAUCGCCUCCGAUACGAUCGUUAACUUUUCAAUCGACUAUAGUUUCGUCAUCGAGUCCCCCCGAUAGGUGUCCGACUCGCCACGGCUUAAAGUCGACCCGUAGGUCUGAGAUACUCUUCACUGGGUCUACAUCAACGACGAAACUCGUAGAGGCCCUUAAAGGCUAACCUUGGGACAAGAGUACCACUGAAAGAGCCACGAUAAGAACCCCGUCCUUAAUGUUCCCUCUUUCAACCUCUAUAUGAAAAUGUCCCCCUUUCUCCACGAGUCCAGGAACAACUAGGUCUCGAACAACUGAUAGACUGAAGGUGUGAUCUUUUCCACCCCUUUCAACCACAAAGUACGUGGGUCUAAGGGAACGAACGAUAUCUCAUACUCGGUGGUUCCUGGUUUAGAAAAUUUUGACAUCUUAGUAGUGAAGCCCAACUACGACACCGGUCACGUCCUAAAUUUUAUAGUGCGUGUUUCGAACCAUCGUACUAGUCAAGACCUCUACAAGCACACUUAACCAGUGACCAAAGCUUUUCACCUCGAUGGGAGUUCCGACCCCUACAACAAAGACAGUCACCCUACCCCUCUAAUUUCUAACCCCUUUAGCACUGAUGCUUCUUUCCGUUUAUACAGUAAGUCAACUAAGUUAUAAACAUCCGGGCACUGACUAGUUAACAAGAGACUUCUUAUGGACUGACCACUCAAACGUUUCACGAGUCAACGAAUGUGUUCGUAUUCCCGACGUCGACGGACGUUUAUAAAUGCUACUUUGACUAGGUAUUAUAAAUCUUCCCUUUUCCUGUUCACCUGUCAUGUACAUUUCAUAUACACUGUCGAAUAGAAAUUUCAGGUCUAGUUUAACUCUUACUUUAAAUCUUCCUAGUUUCAGAGAGACACUUGAGGUUGAGCACACUCCUGAGCUAGACGAAAUCCCGUUUUUCCACUUGUUUUUCAUAUACAAAACCUUUGUUACCUUUACACAAAGAAGAUAAGUAUGAUUUCUCGCUAAGCGUUUGUUGUAGGAGUCGUUAAAAGACAGUAGUCCUUUGUACACUGUGCUGAUGCUAUACCAUCCUUUGGAAAACGUGAACCCAUUAACUAUUGAUACCCAGCAUUGAAGUUGAGCAAAAAAAGUUUCUGAAGCGUUUCCCAACAUAAGCAACAUGGCUUAGAAGGCAAGGUUGAAGGUUCAACGUUUAAAUGGAAUAAAAAAAAUCUUGUGGUUCAACGUUUUAAUAGAGUUCUGGGUCACAAAUUCCAGUAGUUGCGGAAAAUGACAGCGUAUUCAAGACAAUAGUAUUCCAAGGAAGAGCUUUUGUGACCUCAUCGAGUAAAAGACCCCAUGUUUUUGGUCCUCAACAACUUAGUAGGAUCCGUGGAUGGUUACGAGUACCGUAGAGCAGGCAACUGGUUAUUUGGUGUUUUAUAGAAUCGUUCUGAACGUGAAAACAUUCGGUACCGUCGUCUGGACUUGGACUGACGAUUUCGAGGGCAUACAUGGUAGAGUUCACGAAUAGACAAAAGCGGUAGUGCGAUUUGGAAACCUGGAUGGAUGUUACGCUGUUACUACUUUAUACAUCUAGAACCUACUACGGUCCGUCGUGACAUCCGUUCAGAGGCCAGAGGCCAAGGUAGCUUUACGUUAUUAAACGGGGAGGAUGCGUAGGAAAGUGUCUCUAUAGGUUAGACUAGGUCAACCCUAUGAUCAGGAGAUCCGAUACGUCUUUCGUCAUCUCAUAGUGUACGUACAAGAAUUUCCUCACGACAUCGACACGGGGUUGAAACACCUGG
rnacentral:rRNA from 1 species